rnacentral:lncRNA from 1 species
UUUCACUGUUCAAUCUCCCCCUCCUCCACCAAGAUCCCAAACAGGUGAUCAAAAUAUUUACCCAAAACCCAGGUCUCUUCCUAGAGGGGAUUUCUCUACUUCCCUGCGCCGCCAGCUCAGGCCCACUCUGAACCCAGCCUGCACUGGAGCCCUCCGGGACGUGCACAGAAGAAAACAAGAGGCAUGUGCUCCUGCUGUGGGCGAGGGUACUCUCAGUGUGAAAUCAUAUUGGAGCAGACUUUGGCGUCCCCCCAGCUCCUGGAGCUUCUACAAUAGCGG